AAAUUUUAACAUCAAUUUUCUGUUUCGUUCGUCCCCGAAAUUUCAGAAAAUAUUUCAUGGUAGGCCCUCUGGACCUAUUUCGGAGAAACGGGAUUUUCGUUUUAAGAAUAAUACUACUGUUGGCAAUCGAGACACCGUAUAUCGAUGGCAGAGCAAAAAUCAACGGCGGUCCUGUUGUCGGGUCCCUAAAUUGAUCGCCGAUAAUGGCGAGAUUACCUACUUUUAAGACGCGUAAUGCCAUAUGCAAUGCUCUCAAGGUUGAGUUUUGUUGGAAGGCGGAUACAACACAGUAGUAAUGACCAGACAGUGAUCUUAGCUCCCCUAAAGCUUAGCCUAGAUCUUUGCUUCCCUAAAGGAAUCUUGACUAAGAUCUCGUAUUCGUUUGAAUCACUUACCAUCAAGACCCAACAAGGAGAGUUCAUAGUCGAUGAUGAUAAUAUCUGAAAUAUUAGUAACGAUGGAAACCAGACUUUAAAUCAAAGUGAUAACAUUGACGAUUCUACUUGCAUAGUCCGUACAGCAUAAAUUAAUCUAAACGGUGGAUAUGAGUAUUGAAAUUACAAGGUCGAUUGAUUGUGGUUCUCUACAAUAUACUUUUCUCAUUGUCACCACGAAGAAACUAAUAAAAGUAAUCGUAUAUGCAGGAUUUUGCUUUCAAGUUUACGAGCGCUCACAGAACAAGAAAAGAUGAAUCCUUUAGGUAACGGAGACAGCUAAAAUAAAUAUCCAACUUGAUGUACAUACACUCUCCAGUCUUUGUUAGUGUUUUCACUAGCAAAAGAUGGACUACUGGUGCAGCUUUUAAAUCAGGUGGACUACAUUGAGAUUGCGGCGAAUUCCUCUAAAAAUUUGAAGUCCACAUCAAAUUUAACAAUAAUUCCUAACAUUUCUGUCAUGAUAAUUUUAUGAAGUUUUGUGAAAAUUUAAGGAGACGUUGCAGUGAGACAAAUAGAUGACGCGACGAUACGUAGAGAUUUGACUCGUCUUUAACUGUCUCAGAGGAAGAAACACAGAUACACCGAUAAGAGCCUCCAGACACCUCACCGUUUUUGUUUUGCUAAUUAUUAUGACCAGAACUAAAAUCCUAUCAUAAAUACGAGUAAUGAAAGGAACUCAGGCUGUAAAGGAACCACGAGCUGGCAAGAUGGAAUAGCGUGAUGAACAUAAAAUGUUGGUUUUUACAUCUACUAAGCUGUUAGUAGGUCAUAUACACGUUAUUUGCCAAAUUCUAUGUUAUUAUUGUGAAUUGAACUGAAUAAAAUUAAUCAUUUUCAUUCCCGAAAGUACCGUAAAUCCUGGUGGCUGCUCCAAAGAAACGGGAAUUUCCAAAAAGUAAAAAACAAGAACCGGGGAUUUCGGUACCAGGACUAUUUGGUUUCAUUUCUUAAGAAACGCAUUUGCAUAUCAAGCAAUCAAUACAAAUUUCGUGUAUGAAAGGGAAUGGAUUUCUAAAUAACUGUUCAAUCUAUCAAUAACAAUCUUUAAAGGAACUUGUAUUAUUUAAGUAGGUAUUCAAGUACUGUAUACAAGUAAAUUAGGACAUAUCCUCCUAAAUUAAAAUGAAUGGAUAUUUAUUGUUUUUUAUGCAAAAAAUAAUGAACUGAUUUAAGUAAAAUAUACUGCUUGUAUUUAUUUAUAUGUAUCAUUGAUUGGCAAAUUGUUUUUGUUUAAUUGAAUACUGUUUUCCGGAUAGGUGUUAUAAUAUA